rnacentral:rRNA from 1 species
ACACGACUCUCGGCAACGGAUAUCUAGGCUCUCGCAUCGAUGAAGAACGUAGCAAAAUGCGAUACUUGGUGUGAAUUGCAGAAUCCCGUGAAUCAUCGAGUUUUUGAACGCAAGUUGCGCCCGAGGCCACU